AGUUGUGGCUUCAACAGUAAGAGAAGUGAUAGACACGUGACCGGGUCGAUUCUGUUCAGGCUGCUGCACGUGAGGAUAGGAGGACAGUCACAAACUCACCAACUCACCAAAAAUGACGGACAUUGAAGACAGGAACAGGAGAAAUAAUGUACGACUGGUGGCUCUGCCUGAGGGGGCGGAGGGCUCCGAUGCAACUGGCUUCCUCAGAGCUAAUCUUUCCAGGUGAAUCUCUUCACUGAAAGGCCGUGACAUCGAGAUUGACCGGGCCCAUCACGUGUAUGACUGAAGGAAAAACUCUGAUCGGCCGCGUACUCUCAUCUUCCGUGUACUAAGAUGCAUGACAGGUCGGUGAUCCUGAAGGGUGCUCGGCAGGCGUAUCCGGUAAAAUAUACACAGGACAAUGUCACGCCACUAUUUUUUCCCGACUUUAGUCCAGCCACAACUACCAAGAGAAAGAGCUUUAAUCCAGUCUUGAAGAUGAACGCACUCGGUCUCCAGGCCUUCCUCAUCUAUCCGGCGGCAAUUAAACUACGGCACAAAGGGCAAAUGGAGAGCAGUUUCUGGCUCAGUGGGCCUGGGGACAUGUCUUGUGUUGAAGUGGACUGGUCAACAUUUGUUUCUGUUGUUUGCACACACCUACAUUCUCGUGUACAUGAUUAUGCAUCGCGAUGGAUUGGUAUCUAGCAUACAUCUUUAUCAUGAGGUACUUUUCUCCACAUGUUUUGGGAAUGUCCAGUUGUUGUUAUGGACUCAUGUGAAUUCUGUUUUGUCCUUUUUACUACAAAUUGAUUACGUCUCUAAUCCAGGUUUAUGUCUUCUCAAUGACGAUUCUAACUGCUGUAUGAGUUCAUUAAAGAAGAGAAUGUUGUUUACAGCUGCAAAGAAGACAAUAAUACAGAACUGGUUUACUCCGCACAUGUGUGCAAAAACACAUGUACAAAAUGUACAACAGCACAAAUCAACAAGGCUAAACCCAGUACCACUGAUGCAUGGCAAUGUUUUUCUUCCAACAUAUUGGACUAUAUAUAGGAAUGACAAUAUAAUGUAUUUGUUUUCUCUCUCUUCGCUCUCUCUCUUCCCCUUUCAGAUUGUAAAAUUAUUGAUAAUAUGUCUGUUGCUCUCCCUUCCCCCUUUUUUCUUUUUUUUUUUUGUUUGAAUGGAUGUUUUGUUAAAUCUAUAAACAAUAAAAAAUUGAUCACAAAAAAAAAAAAAAAACAGCACAACACCUUCAGUCUUUUAAAGACAACUUCAACAAGGGUGUGUAAGCCUAAUAACAGUGUUGUGUUGUUAACACACAUGAACAUGAAGGGAAACAAGCAGUCUUUAACCCUCUAUGGUACAGCGUUGCCAUAUGGCAACAAUUAAUUUCUACUCAUUUCCUUGUUAUUCAGAAAAAAAAAUACAAUAUAUGCAUGGUGCAUCGCAGAGCUAGUGCAAGACAAGCAUUUGUGGUUAAAAAGUAUAUAUUUAUUUAUUUAUUUUUUAAAUUACCAAUCAUUUCUCUAGAUAAGACCCUUAUUCCUCAUCUGGGAUCAUGUAGAGCCCUUUGAAGCUGCACUGAAACUGACAUUUGAACUCCAGUGAAGUCCACUAUAUGGAGAAAAAUCCUGGAAUGUUUUCCUCAAAAAUCUUAAAUUCUUUUCGACUGAAGAAAGAAAGACAUGAACAUCUUGGAUGACAUGCAGGUGAGUAAAUUAUCAGGAAAUUUUCAUUCAGAAGUGAACUAAUCCUUUAAGAGACACAAAUUCAAUAGAAAUGCAAAUGACCUGCAUGUAUUUGUGAGAUGAUGUGUCAAAGCAGAAGUCGUCUCAAGCUGGUUUUGUGAUCUUGACAAUCAGUUCAAUGUUCUUCAGUGGCCUUCAAGAUCACAGAUCUGAAUCCAACAGAAAACCUUUGGUACAAUAAGAGAUCUGCAGAUAUUAUGGGAUUCAAUCAUGUCAACAUGGAGCAGAAUCCAGAAACCAUCUUGGAAACCUUUUAUCACGCCUUCAUCAUUAGUUUUUACUGCUUUGUAAAUGCGUUUUUAUCUUAUAUUUUAGAUUUUUUACACUCUUGUCCCAGACUCAAACGUUCAGUCUAAGCCUGUGAAAAUCCAUCAAAGAUAUCCUAAUAUUACUACAUUUUAAAUCUAUGAUGACCUAAAUAAACAAAGAGUGAAAUAAACUGAAACAAUUAUUUAAAAAUGAUGACCAUAUAGUUUCAGCAUCAUUUCCAACUGUUUAAGAGACAAUAGUGUCAGUGGAGAUGACUGAGAUUAAAUAUGAGACAUGUGAUGUAUGUGGAAAACAAAGAAAUAAACAUAAAUAUCAGUUAUGAAUGCAAUAUUUGUACUGACUAUGAUCGUGAUGAAAAAUGAGGCUUAUUGCAGAAUUAACAGUGAUUAACAAUAAAACGUCUAAACUAAAUCUGCAAAUGAUUCCAUUAAUUUCCAUAAUAAUAUACUGGACAAUGAAUAUGCAAAUAUAUUACAAUUUAGCAGUAAAUGUACACUGUUCUUAAAGAGACAUUUUCACUAUGGUGUAUAUGCUGAUGACUUUGAUGCAUCACUGAUGUUACGAUCCUCCCAGUUUGUCUAGGGGUAGGAGGAUGUAACAAUUAUUGUAAAUAAAAUAAAAAUAAUAAAUAAAACGAAAAUGACUGACGGUCACUUCAAUCCCCUGAUCCAGAAAAGCCACAAACACCAAAUUAAGCAAAAUAACUUAAUGUAUUUAAUAACAAUUCAAAGAUAACAUCAACAAAAAGAAAGAAAUAAAGGAAGCAAAUCUUCAGGAGAGUUCCAGGCCAACAUAACAAACAAAACUUUCUAACUGACAAGGGAAGCAUUAAAUAACCUAUAUAUACAAUUUUAAGACACAAGCCCACGUUUUUGUUCACUAGUAAUAAAGUCCGACUACGCCACCCUAAGGAUUAACCCCAGGGAAAAUACUCAAACCACUCAAAUUGAGUAAUAAAGCAUACAGGUUCGGUUCCCUCAUAAAAUUAGGCCAGAGACGUAAGUAUAAAAAUACAAGAAUAAUUUAAAACACUGAAUCACAAAAAAACUCUUGAAACCCCACUUCAAACAAAAGAAAACAAAUUACACAAAGAAAAAGAUAAAACAAACAAACCAACUUAAGUAGCAAUUAUAUGUGGAUAUGUAAAACAAAACGGAAUGAUACCAGCAGGGCUGAGGCUCCCAACGGCAGGAAUCAAUGUAGAGUUUGGUUUCACAAGAGCACACGUUCACGCGCACACACACCCGUGCAGGCACGUGCACACAUAGACAUAAAAGGGGCUUGAGCCCCUGCCCUUUUUCUUCCUCGAGAGAAAGUGCCCUGUUUUUCUGGGGUGCUUUUUUUUUUUUUUUAAUAAAUGAACAUAUAUUCCUGUUUGCGCACAGCUUCCAUGUCAAACAAAUAUAUUUAGGCUGCUGAAAAAAAAAAAAAAAAAAUACUAUAUCAGGUCGGCUUUGUCGAGUUCAGAUGCCCUCCCUCCUUGACACGCCAUUCAUUCCCGCACCCAUGUGCCCCACCUCGUGUUUGCUGCUGGCUGAAAACUUGUGACAACUAUGCCCGGGAAAGUGCAACUGCUGUCUGGCGAUGAGAAGCGAAAAAGAA